CCUACGGGUGGCAGCAGUGGGGAAUAUUGCGCAAUGGGCGAAAGCCUGACGCAGCGACGCCGCGUGAGGGAUGAAGGUCUUCGGAUCGUAAACCUCUGUCAGCAGGGAAGAACGGUCAUUGUGCUAAUCAGCAGUGAAUUGACGGUACCUGCAAAGGAAGCACCGGCUAACUCCGUGCCAGCAGCCGCGGUAAUACGGAGGGUGCGAGCGUUAAUCGGAAUUACUGGGCGUAAAGCGCUCGUAGGCGGUAUGUCAAGUCAAGGGUGAAAGCCCCGCGCUCAACGUGGGAACUGCAUUUGAAACUGGGAAACUGGAGUGUGUGAGAGGAGAGUGGAAUUCCAGGUGUAGGAGUGAAAUCCGUAGAGAUCUGGAGGAACAUCAGUGGCGAAGGCGACUAUCUGGCACAUAACUGACGCUGAGGAGCGAAAGCGUGGGUAGCAAACAGGAUUAGAUACCCCUGUAGUC
rnacentral:rRNA from 1 species